GCAGAAAACCAAGUGACUAUGAGGGGGAUGGGGCAGUGUGAGAUGACGGGACCAGAGCACGUUCCUGGCUGCAGAGGCCACAAGUCACGCUGUCUCUGAGAGUGGAAUGUCACCAUCGCCCAGGUGGGGAUUUUUGUGUGUUUUGUUCACUGCUGUACACCCAGCCCCCAGCACAGCGCCUGUCCAGGACAAGUGCCCAGUAAACACUUGGGAAGCAAUGCAAGCGUCCUCCCAGCAGCUCCUGCAAACAGACCCCCGACCCAAGCCCUUCCUUCUGCCUCCACUGCCACCACUGCUGCUCAUCUCUGCUGGCACAGAAGUCUCUUCCCUGGUCUUCCAGAAAUCCCCUCUCCACACUCAGCCAGAGGGAGCUAUUAAAACUGUGGGCCAGCCCACAUCAGUCCACAGCAAAGUCCUCUCUAAGGGAUCUCUGUUGCUUGGAGAAUAAACCCUCGGAUUCCUUCCUUGGCUCUCGGGGCCUCCUCUCUGACCUCCCUCUGUCUCCUCUCCCAGCCUUCCUCCUCACUCACCCUCCAGCCAUGCUGGCUUCCUCCUUGCUCCUGAAACAGCCUGAGGCCCACACUGCCCCGGGCCCUUUGCACUGGCUGUUUCCUCUGCCUGGAACACUUCUCCUAGGCAUCCACAGGGCUCCCUCCCACAACUCCUUCGGGUGCCCACAUGGGAAGCCAUCCCUGACCACCCCCCCGACUUCCUUCUGAGCAAGGUAGGGUCUUUCUACCUAGUCAUGAGGGCAGGGAUUUUUGUCUGUUGUGUUCUCUGUGUGCCCCCAGUGCCAUCCCAGUGCCUGGCAGAUGGUAAGUGCUCGACACACAUUGGCUGACUGCCUGAAUGAACAACUCUAUGAGCCGAUGGCAGAUAAGGACACUGAGGUCCUCUGGGGUAGGUGACCAGCCCAAGGCCACACAGCUGGUCUGAGAUUAGGCCAGGAGAGGAGCCCGGGUUGGUCACAUCCUGGAGUUGGCGUCUUGGAAACUGCAUCAGGAGAAUAACAAAGAUGAGACGCAGGCUCUAACAAGUGGAUACCAGUGACUCUCGCCCCGCCAGCCCCAGCCCUGCAGCCUUGGGCCCUUCCAGGAGUCAUGGUCUGCCUGCCUGGGGCAUUCCAGGCUUCGACCCAGGUCCUGCACUUUCUAUUUUGAGCCUCUUAGUCCUGAGGACUGUGUGUUCCCAGCAGGCGGCGCGGGCCAGAGGCUGAGCCUGGGUGUGGCUGUCACCCUAUCUGGGGCCAGAGACCCAGAUUCCCGGGCCCUUAACCUGUUGGCUGCUGAGGGCUCUGGCAUAAGCCCUGUUCCCUGCUUGAUUGUCUCCCCUUCAAGCCCCUGCCCUGGUAUCGUAUCGGCCCAUCUCACCUUGGAUUAUAUCCCUGUUUGGCCCCAUUUGAAUCCUGGCUCUGCCCCUUUCCAGCAAUGUGACCUUGGGCAAGUCACUUCAUCUCUCUGGGUCUCAGUUUCUUCAUCUGGGAAAUGGGGACAAUAAGAGUACCUGUCUCUGGCCAUGUGUGGUGACUCAUGCCUGUAACCCCAGCGCUUUGGGAAGCCGAGGCGAGAGAAUUGCUUGAGACCAGGAGUUUGAGAUCAGCCCUGGGCAACAUAGUGAGACCCCUGUCUCUACAAAAUUCUAAAAAAAUUAGCCGGGUGUGGUGGUGUGUGCCUGUAGUCCCAGCUAUUCUAGAGGCUGAGGCGGGAGGAUUGCUUGAGCCCAGGAGUUUGAGGCUGCAGUGAGCUAUGAUUAUGCCCCUGCACAUCAGCCUGGGUGAUAGAUUGAGGCCCCAUCUCUAAAAAUAACAAUACUAAUAAUAAAUAAAAAUGAAAAUGAGUACCUGUCUUCUGGGGUUGCAGAGGAGAUUCAAUGUGAUGAAAUUGAUGAGAGUGCCCUGCAGGGAGCCGGAAACUCAGGGAGCAUCGAUAAUGAGUCCCCCACCAUCAGCAGCUGGCUUAAAUAUAAAAACUGUCAUGGCCUCUGGAGAAAUGACAAGAAUUCGAAGGAGCUUCCCUGCACUGGCCACCCUACACCCUACACCCUUACUUCCUCCCCUCAACUUGCCUGGAUUUAUCGACCCCCACUACCCCACUGGUUGCCUUCUCUCCACCUGGCACAUUUCGUAUGAAUUUGCUUGUUGGUUCUUGCCUAUCUCCCCAGUAGAACAUUAGCUCCUUCAGGACAGGGACUUUUGUCUACCUUAUGCACCUAGUGCAAUGCCUGGCACACAGUCGGUGCUUAAUAAAUGUUUCUUAAAAGAACCAAUAAAUGAAUAGUGACCUCUCCGGGGAGAGGAGCCCUGAGCUCACCUCCUGCCCCCAGCCCAGGGCUCUUAGGUGCUUGUUGGUGUCAGGCCCAGGCCCCCCUCUCAUCAAGCAGCCAAUAAAACUGCCCUGGUUGGCGUUCUCAUUUCACAGAUGGAGAGACUGAGCCCAGAGAGGGAGAGUCACCUGUCUGAUGUCACACAGAGGUCAGCAUCUGGGCUGGGAUUCCAGCCCAGGACCAUGUGGGGUGGGGGGCAGUGGAUCAAUCUUUUCCUGGAGGGAGUCAAUGGUGAUGGUGGGAAUGGGUCAGGGGUGCUGGCAAGGAGGGUCCAAGGCCCCCAGGAGGGAGGGAGGCAUGGGAGAUGAGUUUGUCCCUCUUGAGUUCUGUCUCUCUCUGUGUCUCUCUGUUUCUGCCUCUUUCUGUCUCCUUGUAUUUCUCAGUCCCUGUCUUCGUCUAUACCUCUUUCUCUCUUCCUUGUGUAUCUGACCCACUGCCCAGGAGGGGAUGCAGGCAGAGACCCCUGGCUUGGGUCCUGGAGUUGGGGCCCACGAGGGGAUUGACAUCUGGGGUUGAGCUGGGAAUCUGAAGCCAGACCCUGCAGCCAGGGACAGCAUUCCAGUCUCGGCUCCACACUCCAGGGAUAGCCUUGGAACGCCAGGCAGUUCAGAGAGCCUGAGGUCUGGUCUUGGAGACCUGGGUUCCAAUCCCAGCUUUGCCACAUUCCAGCCAUGUGGCCUUGGGCCCUUAGCCUUUGUUCCUGUAAAAUGGGACCACUGAGAGCCCGAUCUCAGGGUUUUAUGAGGAGGAACGAUGAGAGGGCUGUGCUGGGCUUCCUGAAGCCCUGUGUGGCCUGGAAAGCACUCAAUAGAUGAUAACUCAGUGUAAUGAUUUCUUCUAGCAGAUGGGGAAAGCGAGAGUUAAAGAGGCCCGAUCAUUUCACUCACUCAUUCCUCAAACGUUAUUAAGCACCUGCUAUGCACCAGGUGCUUUGUUUUGUAUCCAUUAACUCAGGGUUCAGCAAACUACAGCCUCCAGGCCAAAUCUGGUUCACAGCCUGUUUUUAUAAAUAAAGUUUUAUUGGCACACAGUAUGCCCAUUCAUUUACAUAUUGUCCACAGCUGCCUUUACCCUACAACUGCAAUGUUGAGCAGUUGUGAGAGAGACCUUAAAACCCACAAAGCUGAACAUAUGAACUCUCUGGACAUUUACAGUAAAGUUUGCUAAUCCCUGGAUUAGCCCAUUACAACCCUGGAGGAAGGACAUGUCAUAAGCUUGAUUUUAUGGAUUAGGAACUGAGGUCCGAGCGCAGUGUCUGCCACAAGGUUGGGUCUCCAUACGUAAUAUCUGGGUCUUAUUCCUCCUCUUCUGCCCCAUGGGGAGCUGCCAACUCCUGUUCCCUUUCCCUAUCCUGCAUGGAUCAUAAGUGGAUAAUUUGAAUCCCGCAGAGGAAGGAAUGCUGUUUGAAGGUCAGGUCAAUGGAAAGAGUCCUAUUUUCAGGUCAAUUUGGACCUUGCCAAAGCCUCUUCCUUCUGGUGACCUUAGCUGAGAGGUCUGCCACUAGCAGGUGCUUCAUGAACAGUUGCUGAACAAGUGGUGUGCAUCAUGCUCCCGCUGUGAACUUCAGCUUGCUUGAAGGCGGAUUCCUCCAGGAUACCCUGGAGCUCCUCCCCAGGUUGGACCUGCUGCUAGCAUGAGAGGGAAGAAGGGGGACACAGACACCAAAGACAGUUCUCGUCCUCAUCUAAAUGCUGGCGACUUCCAAGGGCACCUCCCCAAGGCCUCCCCUGAGCCUAGACUCAGGGGUCUCCACCCACCUGUCUCUGUCCCUGCUGGGAUGACCAGGAGAAGCCUCAAACCCAGGUUGGCCAGGACUCCAUUCCUGAUCUGCCCCCCGAAGCCAGUCCUGCCUCUACUGAUGGCUCCUGCAUCCUCCAGGUGGUCCCCCAAACCUGGGAGUCUCCCCUGCCUUCUUCUUCUCACUUGCUCCCACAUCUGAUCGCUCAUCACAUCCUGUCGACUCCACCUUCAAGGUAGACCCGGAGUCUGCCCUCGUCUCCCCACCUCCACGGCCCCCGCUUCGGCCACGGCCACCAGCACCACCGCCUGGACUGGUGCAGUCACUUCCUCCUGGCUUCCUUUUCUCCCUCAGCCCCUCACAGUCUGUUCUCCACACACGACCAGAGGGACCUGUCAGAAGGGACCUAUACCUUCCAGCACAGACCCUCCCAGGGAUCCCAGCUCUCUGAGUGAAAGCUCCCUGUGGCCCGUGAGGCCGGGUGCGACCCUGGCCCCCCAGCAAACCCUCCACUUGUCUGAUGACCUCGCUGCCUCUCUCCCUCGCGUACUC
ensembl:lncRNA PELATON plaque enriched lncRNA in atherosclerotic and inflammatory bowel macrophage regulation